AGGAGAGUGACGAGGAGAGUGACAAGGAGAGUGACAGGGGUGAUGAAGAGGAGGCAUCGGCCUCCUCCCGCUACAGUCUACGCUCGAAGAACACCUGCUGAUUCUUCCAUCAAUAUCACUAAAAUUCUAAAUUUGAAGAA